UACAGAGGUCCCAAGCGUUGUUCGGAUUCAUUGGGCGUAAAGGGUGCGUAGGCGGCGCGGUAAGUCGGGUGUGAAAUCUUGGAGCUUAACUCCGAAACUGCAUUCGAUACUGCCGUGCUUGAGGACUGGAGAGGAGACUGGAAUUUACGGUGUAGCGGUGAAAUGCGUAGAUAUCGUAAGGAAGACCAGUGGCGAAGGCGGGUCUCUGGACAGUUCCUGACGCUGAGGCGCGAAAGCUAGGGGAGCAAACGGG
rnacentral:rRNA from 1 species